AACAAUUACAUACUUAAUGUACUUUUUUUUAUUCAAUAACUUGGUAUUUAAUAUAAUAUUUUUGUUUAUGAAUAUUCCAUAUCUUAUAAAUUCUAACAUUAUGUCUCAUCACUACUGUCGGAUAAAUACGACAUAGGCGUUGGAAGUCAAUACACUUUCUCCGGGAUAAUAUUAGUAAAUUUACCUUAAUUGAAAUAGUAUUUUAUUUUGUUUCUUGAUAUAGUAAAUCUGAAUUGUAACACUAAUUAAAAGGUUGAAUUGAUAAACUUUCGAGAAAAAAAUGAUUGAACUUUUAAACAAAAAAAAAAAAAAUU